rnacentral:rRNA from 1 species
CAGUAGCCGCGGGAAUACGUAGGGUUCAAGCGUUAAUCGGAAUUACUGGGCGUAAAGCGUGCGCAGGCGGUUAUAUAAGACAGAUGUGAAAUCCCCGGGCUCAACCUGGGAACUGCAUUUGUGACUGUAUAGCUAGAGUACGGCAGAGGGGGAUGGAAUUCCGCGUGUAGCAGUGAAAUGCGUAGAUAUGCGGAGGAACACCGAUGGCGAAGGCAAUCCCCUGGGCCUGUACUGACGCUCAUGCACGAAAGCGUGGGGAGCAAACAGGAUUAGAUACCCGCGUAGUCCCUGUCUCUUAUAC